rnacentral:rRNA from 1 species
GACCUAUCCAUGAGCAGGUUGAAGCGAAAGUAAAAUUUCGUGGAGGACCGAACCCACGAGCGUUGAAAAGCUCGGGGAUGACUUGUGGAUAGCGGUGAAAUUCCAAUCGAACCCGGAGAUAGCUGGUUCUCCCCGAAAUAGCUUUAGGGCUAGCCUCAGAUUCAGAGAUACGGAGGUAGAGCACUGAAUGUCCUAGGGGGUAUUGCACCUACCGAAGACUAUCAAACUCCGAAUGCCGUCAUCUUUUAUCUGGGAGUCAGACCGUGGGUGAUAAGAUUCACGGUCGAGAGGGCAACAGCCCAGACCGUCGGCUAAGGUCCCCAAAUGUAGGUUAAGUGGUAAAGGAUGUGGGAUUGCACAGACAACCAGGAUGUUGGCUUAGAAGCAGCCACUCAUUCAAAGAGUGCGUAAUAGCUCACUGGUCGAGUGAUCCUGCGCCGAAGAUUUCCGGGGCUAAAACCUACUACCGAAGCCACGGCAUCAUUUAUGAUGGGUAGGGGAGCUUUCUUUACUGGGCAGAAGCAUGACCGUAAGGACAUGUGGACUGUAAAGAAGUGAGAAUGUUGGCAUGAGUAGCGAGAUGUGGGUGAGAAUCCCACAGGCCGUAAACCCAAGGUUUCCAGGGGAAGGUUCGUCCUCCCUGGGUUAGUCGGGACCUAAGCCGAGGCCGAAAGGCGUAGGUGAUGGACAACAGGUUGAAAUUCCUGUACCGCCAAUAAGCGUUUGAGAAAUGGGAUGACACAGUAGGACAGGAUGAGCGUGCUGUUGGUUAUGCACGUCCAAGCACUGAGGCAGUAUCCGGAGGCAAAUCCACGGAUAUAAUGCUGGGGUGUGACGGGGAGCGAAAUUUAGUAGCGAAGCAUCUGCAUUCACACUGUCGAGAAAAGUCUCUAUCGAGUUUAAAGGCGCCCGUACCGCAAACCGACACAGGUGGGUGAGGAGAGUAUCCUAAGGCCAGCGAGAGAACUGUUGUUAAGGAACUCGGCAAAAUGACCCCGUAACUUAGGGAUAAGGGGUGCCAUCGAAAGAUGGCCGCAGAGAAUAGGCCCAAGCGACUGUUUACCAAAAACAUAGGUUUCUGCUAAGUCGCAAGACGAUGUAUAGGAGCUGACGCCUGCCCGGUGCUGGAAGGUUAAGGGGAUCUGUUAGAGCAAUCGAAGCAGUGAACUUAAGCCCCAGUAAACGGCGGCCGUAACUAUAACGGUCCUAAGGUAGCGAAAUUCCUUGUCGGGUAAGUUCCGACCCGCACGAAAGGCGUAACGAUUUGGGCACUGUCUCAACAACAGACUCGGUGAAAUUGUAAUUCCGGUGAAGAUGCCGGAUACCUGCGACAGGACGGAAAGACCCCAUGGAGCUUUACUGUAGCUUGGCAUUGGGUCUUGGUACUACAUGUACAGCAUAGGUGGGAGGCUUUGAUUCCAGGACGCCAGUUUUGGAUGAGCCACCGUUGGGAUACCACCCCUGUAGUACUGGGACUCUAACCAGAGGCCUUGAAUCAGGUCUUGGGACACUGUCAGGCGGGCAGUUUGACUGGGGCGGUCGCCUCCCAAAAGGUAACGGAGGCGCUCAAAGGUUCUCUCAGCACGGUCGGAAAUCGUGCAUAGAGUGUAAAGGCAUAAGAGAGCUUGAUUGCAAGACAUACAGGUCGAGCAAGGACGAAAGUCGGACUUAGUGAUCCGGUGGUUCCGCAUGGAAGGGCCAUCGCUCAACGGAUAAAAGCUA